GGGGCUGAUUCUGGAUUCGACGGGAUUUGCGAAACCCAAGGUGCAUGCCGAGGGGCGGUAGGCCUCGUAAAAAGCCGCAAAAAAAUAGUCGCAAACGACGAAAACUACGCUUUAGCAGCUUAAUAACCUGCUUAGAGCCCUCUCUCCCUAGCCUCCGCUCUUAGGACGGGGAUCAAGAGAGGUCAAACCCAAAAGAGAUCGCGUGGAAGCCCUGCCUGGGGUUGAAGCGUUAAAACUUAAUCAGGCUAGUUUGUUAGUGGCGUGUCCGUCCGCAGCUGGCAAGCGAAUGUAAAGACUGACUAAGCAUGUAGUACCGAGGAUGUAGGAAUUUCGGACGCGGGUUCAACUCCCGCCAGCUCCACCA
rnacentral:tmRNA from 1 species